rnacentral:rRNA from 1 species
UACGGGGGGGGCAAGCGUUGUUCGGAAUUACUGGGCGUAAAGGGCUUGUAGGUGGCCAACUAAGUCAGACGUGAAAUCCCUCGGCUUAACCGGGGAACUGCGUCUGAUACUGGAUGGCUAGAGUUUGGGAGAGGGAUGCGGAAUUCCAGGUGUAGCGGUGAAAUGCGUAGAUAUCUGGAGGAACACCGGUGGCGAAGGCGGCAUCCUGGACCAAUUCUGACGCUGAGGAGCGAAAGCCAGGGGAGCAAACGGG